rnacentral:lncRNA from 1 species
UCCAUGCCAUUCCCUUGGGUCCUGGCACUUUCACCAGAGAGCAGAGCUCAGUACUGCCCUCUGAGCUCCCUGUGAGAAGCUGUAACCACCAUGAGGCCUCCCCUCAUCCUCCUCUGUUCCAGGCUGGACAAACCAAGGGAUCUCAGCUACACCCCCAUACAUCUUACUCUCUAAAGCCAUCACCAUUGAGCUGAAGCAAUCCCUUGAUAAGGUCUCAUUUGGCUUUAUCUGAGCCAGGUGUAACUUGUUUCCUCCUAGAUUGCUCAAAGUUAUGUUAUUUAAAACCAAAGGAGGUUGUGUAUGAUUUGGUUUGUAGAUAAAGGCCUGAGAAGUCUAGUUGGUGGGAGUCUGAUGAGUAAGGCAGUUGAUGGAGAGCUUCAGGACUGAGCUAAGACUUUGCCUGAUGAUUGUAGGCCAGAGAGACGUUCUGAGGUUAUUUACAGCUAUGUGUGAGCAGUAAGUCAAGGUUUCAAAGAGGAAGAAGGUACUGCUCAUCUGCCUGUAAUGAAAAUGGUGUAUGCUACUUCCUUUGAUUCCUACUGAGAAUUCAAAUCCUGGUAAGUCUUAUUCUGAAAAUCAGCAGUGAUAGUCAAUGUUCUCCUUGCAUAGGAUGUCUUGUUUCCUCUUCUUCUACUAGCUGUAUACACACAAGGGGAAGUCCCAGGAAGCCUCCAAAUUACUUGCCUUAAGCCAUAAAAUACAGAUUCUCUAAGGAAAAAAGUUCACGAUGAUUAAAAUGGAUUAUGAACCUAGAAAGCAGAGCACAGAGCGUACAAUGGUUUAAAUUGUUGAAUUCCUACUGAAGUGUCCUGGGAAUUACUUCAUUCAAAAGCAGAGAUUCUGGGAUAUAUCUUUUGUUGGGUUUUGUUGUUGUUCUGUUUUAAAUUGCAACAAAAUUAAUUUGCUUUUACAAAAUCCAUUCUGUGCUGUGCAAAUCAAUACAUGUUUAAAGUACCUGAGUGGAAAGGCUAAUUUUGUCUUUAUCAUAACUAAUUUUUUAAUAUAAACUAAUGUCCAGUUGUAAAUUCAUUUUCAAAAAAACUGCUUGAAAGCACUGAUUUAAUCUGAUAAGUAAUGCAACAAUUAACUGCUUUUGCUACUUGCAAGUCCAAGAUAAUAGCUAGAAUCUAUGUUAGUGAUGCUUUUUCAUUGGAAAUAAAUGCUUUUGCUCUGUUUUG